UACGGGGGGUGCGAGCGUUGUCCGGAAUCACUGGGCGUAAAGGGCGCGUAGGUGGCCUGAUAAGGGUGUGGUGAAAGUCCGGGGCUCAACCCCGGAUCUGCCGUGCCGACUGUUGGGCUGGAGUACUGUAGAGGCAGAUGGAAUUCCGGGUGUAGCGGUGGAAUGCGUAGAGAUCCGGAAGAACACCGGUGGCGAAGGCGGUCUGCUGGGGUCGAACUGACGCUGAGGCGCGACAGCGUGGGGAGCAAACAGG
rnacentral:rRNA from 1 species